rnacentral:rRNA from 1 species
GUAGCGGGUCUGAGAGGAUGAUCCGCCACACUGGGACUGAGACACGGCCCAGACUCCUACGGGAGGCAGCAGUGGGGAAUUUUGGACAAUGGGGGCAACCCUGAUCCAGCCAUGCCGCGUGAGUGAAGAAGGCCUUCGGGUUGUAAAGCUCUUUCGGCCGGGAAGAAAUCGCAUCUUUUAAUAGAGGGUGUGGAUGACGGUACCGGACUAAGAAGCACCGGCUAACUACGUGCCAGCAGCCGCGGUAAU